UACGUAGGGGGCAAGCGUUGUCCGGAUUUAUUGGGCGUAAAGAGUGUGUAGGCGGCCGUACAGGUCAGCUGUGAAAACUCGAGGCUCAACCUCGAGACGUCGGUUGAAACCGUACGGCUAGAGUCCGGAAGAGGAGAGUGGAAUUCCCGGUGUAGCGGUGAAAUGCGCAGAUAUCGGGAAGAACACCCGUGGCGAAGGCGGCUCUCUGGGACGGUACUGACGCUGAGACGCGAAAGCGUGGGGAGCGAACAGG
rnacentral:rRNA from 1 species